UGGGGAAUAUUGCACAAUGGGGGGAACCCUGAUGCAGCCAUGCCGCGUGAAUGAAGAAGGCCUUCGGGUUGUAAAGUUCUUUCGGUGACGAGGAAGGUUGAUAGGUUAAUAGCCUAUCAAAUUGACGUUAAUCACAGAAGAAGCACCGGCUAACUCCGUGCCAGCAGCCGCGGUAAUACGGGGGGUGCGAGCGUUAAUCGGAAUAACUGGGCGUAAAGGGCACGCAGGCGGUGACUUAAGUGAGAUGUGAAAGCCCCGAGCUUAACUUGGGAAUUGCAUUUCAUACUGGGUCGCUAGAGUACUUUAGGGAGGGGUAGAAUUCCACGUGUAGCGGUGAAAUGCGUAGAGAUGUGGAGGAAUACCGAAGGCGAAGGCAGCCCCUUGGGAAUGUACUAACGCUCAUGUGCGAAAGCGUGGGGAGCAAACAGGAUUAGAUACCCUGGUAGUCCACGCUGUAAACGAUGUCGAUUUGGGGAUUGGGCUUUGAGCUUGGUGCCCGUAGCUAACGUGAUAAAUCGACCGCCUGGGGAGUACGGCCGCAAGGUUA
rnacentral:rRNA from 1 species